rnacentral:rRNA from 1 species
CACUCCUACGGGAGGCAGCAGUGGGGAAUUUUGGACAAUGGGCGAAAGCCUGAUCCAGCAAUGCCGCGUGAGUGAAGAAGGCCUUCGGGUUGUAAAGCUCUUUUGUCAGGGAAGAAACGGUGAAAGCUAAUAUCUUUUGCUAAUGACGGUACCUGAAGAAUAAGCACCGGCUAACUACGUGCCAGCAGCCGCGGUAAUACGUAGGGUGCAAGCGUUAAUCGGAAUUACUGGGCGUAAAGCGUGCGCAGGCGGUUUUGUAAGUCUGAUGUGAAAUCCCCGGGCUCAACCUGGGAAUUGCAUUGGAGACUGCAAGGCUAGAAUCUGGCAGAGGGGGGUAGAAUUCCACGUGUAGCAGUGAAAUGCGUAGAUAUGUGGAGGAACACCGAUGGCGAAGGCAGCCCCCUGGGUCAAGAUUGACGCUCAUGCACGAAAGCGUGGGGAGCAAACAGGAUUAGAAACCCUAGUAGUCCCA